GCGAGUAGCGCAGCUUGGUAGCGCAACUGGUUUGGGACCAGUGGGUCGGAGGUUCGAAUCC
rnacentral:tRNA from 1 species